AACCUGGUUGAUCCUGCCAGUAGUCAUAUGCUUGUCUCAAAGACUAAGCCAUGCACGUCUAAGUACAAACUAAAUGAUGGUGAAACUGCAAAUGGCUCAUUACAACGGUUAUGAUGUACCCGGGAGUUCCGAUGGAUAUUUCCAGUAACACUAGAACUAAUACAUGCUCCUGCGUNUAUUAGUUUCGCACAGUCCGUCGCUGAGUCAUGGUAAACAGUUGAUCGACUCGACGUCCCGGAACAGUUUCCGCCCCAUCAGCUUCGAUGGUUGGGUAUUGGCCUACCAUUGCAACAACGGGUAACGAGGAAUUAGGGUUUGAUUUCGGAGAGGGAGCCUGAGAAACGGCUACCACAUCUACGGAUGGCAGCAGGCGCGCAAAUUACCCAAUGCAGACACUGUGAGGUAGUGACGAGAAAUAAUAAAGCGGGACUUCUGUUUCGCUAUUAUAAUGAGGAAUAACCAAAGGUCAUUCCGAUUAGCAACUGAUGGGAAAGUCUGGUGCCAGCAGCCGCGGUAAUACCAGCGUCAGUAGCAUAUAU
rnacentral:rRNA from 1 species